CUGUAAUAGCCUUGACCUAUUCUCAAACUUUAAAUGGGUACGGAGUGGAUCGAUGCUUGGAUGAUCGGCCACGAGAAUGAGAGUGCCAAGUGGCCAUUUUUGGUAAGCAGAACUGGCGAUGCGGGAUGAACCGAACGCAUAGCUAAGGUGCCAAAGUGCACGCUCAUGAGAGACCAGAAAAGGUGUUGGUUCAUCCAGACAGCAGGGCGGUGGCCAUGAAAAGUCGGCAUCCGCUAAGGAGUGUGUUACGACUCACCUGCCGAAUGAAGCAGCCCUGAAAAUGGAUGGCGCUGAAGCGUGAGACCGAGGCUAUGCCGUCGGGGCGAGAUGGGAGCCUUGACGAGUAGGAGGGCGUGGAGGUUGCGAGGGAGUGUAGGCCGUGAGGCCGCAUGGAGCAGCCUCUAGUGCAGAUCUUGGUGGGAGUAGCAAAUAUUCAAAGGGGGACUUUGAAGACUGAAGUGGGG
rnacentral:rRNA from 1 species